rnacentral:rRNA from 1 species
CUGUCGAUGGGAAGCAGGUUAAUAUUCCUGCACUUUUCUACAGUGCGAUGUGGGGACGGAGAAGGUUAGGUCUACCAGGCGUUGGUUGUCCUGGGGAAAGGCGGUAGGCAUGAUUCUUAGGCAAAUCCGGGAAUCUUUAUGCCGAGCACCGAGACGAGUCCUUUGGGACGAAGUGACUGACACCACGCUUCCAGGAAAAGCCACUAAGCUUCAGCUGUAGAAAAACCGUACCGCAAACCGACACAGGUAGGCAGGGUGAGAAUCCCAAGGCGCUUGAGAGAACUCGGGUGAAGGAACUAGGCAAAAUGGCACCGUAACUUCGGGAGAAGGUGCGCCUCUUGGUGUGGUCACGUGCGUGACUGAGCAUCGAGGGGUCGCAGUAACCUGGCCGCUGCGACUGUUUAUCAAAAACACAGCACUCUGCAAACACGAAAGUGGACGUAUAGGGUGUGACGCCUGCCCGGUGCUGGAAGGUUAAUUGAUGGGGUCAGCCGCAAGGCGAAGCUCUUGAUCGAAGCCCCAGUAAACGGCGGCCGUAACAAUAACGGUCCUAAGGUAGCGAAAUUCCUUGUCGGGUAAGUUCCGACCUGCACGAAUGGCGUAACGACAGCGGCGCUGCCUCCACCCGAGACUCAGUGAAAUUGAAAUCGCUGUGAAGAUGCAGCGUUCCCGCGGCAAGACGGAAAGACCCCGUGAACCUUUACUAUAGCUUUACACUGAACGUUGAGUUCUUCUGUGUAGGAUAGGUGGGAGGCUAUGAAACCAGGACGCUAGUUCUGGUGGAGCCAUCCUUGAAAUACCACCCUGAAGUGCUUGACGUUCUAACCUAGGUCCGUAAUCCGGAUCGGGGACCGUGUAUGGUGGGUAGUUUGACUGGGGCGGUCUCCUCCCAAAGAGUAACGGAGGAGCACGAAGGUACGCUCAGCGCGGUCGGACAUCGCGCACUGUGUGCAAAGGCAUAAGCGUGCUUGACUGCGAGAUCGACGGAUCAAGCAGGUACGAAAGUAGGUCUUAGUGAUCCGGUUGUUCUGUAUGAAAGGGCCAUCGCUCAACGGAUAAAAGGUACUCCGGGGAUAACAGGCUGAUACCGCCCAAGAGUUCAUAUCGACGGCGGUGUUUGGCACCUCGAUGUCGGCUCAUCACAUCCUGGGGCUGUAGCCGGUCCCAAGGGUAUGGCUGUUCGCCAUUUAAAGUGGUACGCGAGCUGGGUUCAGAACGUCGUGAGACAGUUCGGUCCCUAUCUGUCGUGGGCGUUGGAGAUUUGAGGGGGGCUGCUCCUAGUACGAGAGGACCGGAGUGGACGUUCCGCUGGUGUUCGGGUUGUCAUGCCCAUGGCAUUGCCCGGUAGCUACGAACGGAAGUGAUAACCGCUGAAAGCAUCUAAGCGGGAAGCACGCCCCAAGAUGAGAUCUCCCGAGAGCUUGACUCUCCUAAAGGCACCAUCAAGACUAGGUGGUUGAUAGGCACGGUGUGGAAGUGCAGCAAUGCAUUGAGCUUACGUGUACUAAUGAGCCGUGAGGCUUGACC